UAAACCGUCAGCAUGCACUCAUUUUCCAAUUCAUUUUCUGAGCCUUUGAGGAUGAACAAGACCAACGAGAACCAGUCAGGUAAAAAUCAUUGGUGAAGUCACCAGAUGUGGAUGGCGUGUAUGUUGUUCGACAUUGCAGCGUGCUGAUGAGUUAAUAAAGAGGCA